CCUACGGGGAGCUGCAGUAGGGAAUCUUCCACAAUGGACAAAAGCCUGAUGGAGCAACGCCGCGUGGGUGAAGAAGGUCUUCGGAUCGUAAAACCCUGUUGUUAGAGAAGAAAGUGCGUGAGAGUAACUGUUCACGUUUCGACGGUAUCUAACCAGAAAGCCACGGCUAACUACGUGCCAGCAGCCGCGGUAAUACGUAGGUGGCAAGCGUUAUCCGGAUUUAGUGGGCGUAAAGGGAACGCAGGCGGUCUUUUAAGUCUGAUUUGAAAGCCUUGGGGUUAACCGGAGUAGUGCAUUGGAAACUGGGAUACUUGAGUGCAGAAGAGGAGAGUGGAACUCCAUGUGUAGCGGUGAAAUGCGUAGAUAUAUGGAAGAACACCAGUGGCGAAAGCGGCUCUCUGGUCUGUAACUGACGCUGAGGUUCGAAAGCGUGGGUAGCAAACAGGAUUAGAUACCCCAGUAGUC
rnacentral:rRNA from 1 species